ACAGUACAAACUGAUCAGGCGGUUAACUUAUAAGAAGUUAAUGCAGCUGGGCCGAUCAUGGCAGCAGGAUUAAUUAAGCCUGUGGGACAGAA
rnacentral:ncRNA from 2 species